UGUGUUUUAAGCAGUAAAAGAUAUUUGUUGGUUUCCAAGCCGUCAACAUUGUGACGAUAGAAAUACUUUGCUAAUGCAGAUCAUGUUUUCAUUUAGCAUGUGGGUUUCAUCUUGAAUGAACAUCUGAUUUCUUAUGGUGUAUUUAAGUGGAGAUCUGUCAGGACAAUUAUUUUUGCAAAUUGCCAGCAUAUUCGUUUAUCGAAGCUUUGAGUACUGAAUCUUAUAUUUACCUUGCACUGUAUGCAAAGUUACAUUUCAUUGAACUGAAUUUGGGAACUCCAGAAUUAUAUUUACAAAAUAUAUUAAAAAAUACGCAGUCACACUUAUGCUUUUAGAAGACAUGGCCAAAAAGCUAGCCCACACGUCUUAUUCAUCUGCCCUGAAGGAGGUAGGAGAGCUGCAUGGAUGAGCAAGGAGCUSCUGGCAAAACUCAACCAGAAGAAGGAAGUAUACAGAAAGUGGAAAGGGGGACAGGCCACUUGGGAGGAAUAUAGGAACGUUGUCAGAGGAUGCAGGGAUGCAACGAGGAAGGCUAAGGCCCAUUUGGAAUUAAAUCUGGCAAGGGAUGUCAAGGACAACAAGAAGGACUUCUUCAAAUACAUCAGUAGCCAGAGGAAGACUAGAGAAAAUGUGGGUCCAUUGCUGAAUGGGGUGGGUGCCCUGGUGAUGAAGGAUGCAGAGAAGGCAGAGUUACUGAAUGCCUUCUUUGCUUCAGUCUUUACUGCUCAGGCCAGCCCUCAGGAAUCCCAGACCCUGGAGAACACAGAGAAAGUCUGGAGAAAGGAAGACUUUCCCUUGGUUGAGGAGGAUCAGGUUAGAUAUCAUUUAGGCAGACUUGACACCCACAAAUCCAUGGGCCCCGAUGGGAUGCACCCACAAGAGCUGAGGGAGCUGGCAGACGUUAUUGCUAAGCCACUCUCCAUCAUCUUGGAAAGGUCAUGGAGAACAGGAGAGGUGCCUGAAGACUGGAAAAAAGCCAGUCUCACUCCACUCUUCAAAAGGGGCAAGAAGGAGGACCCAGGGAACUACAGGCCAGUCAACCUCACCUCCAUCCCUGGAAAGGGGAUGGAGCAGCUCAUCCUGGAGGCCAUCCCCAAGCAUGUGGAGGAAAAGAAGGUGCUCAGGAGUAGUCAGCAUGGCUUCACCAAGGGGAAAUCAUGCUUGACCAAUCUGAUAGCCUUCUAUGAUGGAAUGGCUGGCUGGGUAGAUGAGGGGAGAGCAGUGGAUGUUGU
rnacentral:lncRNA from 1 species